rnacentral:rRNA from 1 species
UACGAGUGCCUCAAGCGUUAUCCGGAAUCACUGGGCGUAAAGGGUGUGUAGGUGGUCUUGUUAGUCUUCUGUCAAAUUCUUCGGCUUAACCGGGGGCUCGCAGGGGAAACGGCAAGACUUGAGGGUGCUAGGGGUGAAUGGAACUCAUGGAGUAGGGGUGAAAUCCGUUGAUAUCAUGGGGAACACCAAAAGCGAAGGCAGUUCACUGGAGCAUUUCUGACACUGAAACACGAAAGCGUGGGUAGCGAAUGGG